CAAUUAUACACAUUUUUCACCAGAUGAAUGAUGUUUUUAUACAUUUCUAUUGUCAUCCUCUUAGAGGUGCCAGUUGUGCUGGGAGGGGAUUUGGAUCAAGGUCCAAAGGUUGUGGUUAAAGGAGUGGGCAAAACUGUUUAUCUGCAAUGCAAGGAUCGAAGCAAUUCAGACUAUAUCCAUUGGUACCAAGUUAAAGACAAAGAAGCCCCAACGAGGCUACUCUACAUCAGUAAAGGAGGUAGUGUUGCUCGUGAUACCAGCACUGAUGCAGCUGACUUCACAGUGGACAAAACAAAGCUUUAUGAUCUAAAACUGAGUAAUUCUCAGCCAAAACAUUCUGCUGUUUAUUUCUGCGCCUACUGGGACACAAGCUACCACAGUGAGAAGAUUUACUCACAUCCUGUACAUGAACUAUACUGGUAAUGCUAUUACCAAUAUUUAUACUUAAAUUGUCAUUUUCUGUUUAAAUGGUUAAUUUCACUUAAACUUUAUGCACAUUCUGGCGGGAUGAUGGUAUUUGGAUCUGUUUAAAUAUGGAUUUUAUUUAUCAUACAAACAUGGUGUUCAUGUUUGUAUGAGGUUUUUUUACAUACUGUAUUUAUUUUUCUGAUU